rnacentral:tRNA from 1 species
GCCUAGGUGGUGAAAUUGGUAGACACAAGGGACUUAAAAUCCCUCGCCUUCACGGGCGUGCCGGUUCGAUUCCGGCCCUAGGUACCA